UCGAGGGGUAUAGUAGCAAUACUAGAGACCGGCGCACGGGUGCGUAACGCGUAUGCAAUCUACCUUUCACAGAGGGAUAGCCCAGAGAAAUUUGGAUUAAUACCUCAUAGUAUAAUGAGUUGGCAUCAACCCAUUAUUAAAGUCACAACGGUGAAAGAUGAGCAUGCGUCCCAUUAGCUAGUUGGUAAGGUAACGGCUUACCAAGGCUACGAUGGGUAGGGGUCCUGAGAGGGAGAUCCCCCACACUGGUACUGAGACACGGACCAGACUCCUACGGGAGGCAGCAGUGAGGAAUAUUGGUCAAUGGGCGCAAGCCUGAACCAGCCAUGCCGCGUGCAGGAUGACGGUCCUAUGGAUUGUAAACUGCUUUUGUACGGGAAGAAACCCUCCAACGUGUUGGAGCUUGACGGUACCGUAAGAAUAAGGAUCGGCUAACUCCGUGCCAGCAGCCGCGGUAAUACGGAGGAUCCAAGCGUUAUCCGGAAUCAUUGGGUUUAAAGGGUCCGUAGGCGGUUUAGUAAGUCAGUGGUGAAAGCCCAUCGCUCAACGGUGGAACGGCCAUUGAUACUGCUAGACUUGAAUUAUUAGGAAGUAACUAGAAUAUGUAGUGUAGCGGUGAAAUGCUUAGAGAUUACAUGGAAUACCAAUUGCGAAGGCAGGUUACUACUAAUGGAUUGACGCUGAUGGACGAAAGCGUGGGUAGCGAACAGGAUUAGAUACC
rnacentral:rRNA from 1 species